GAGGGUGUAGCUCAGCGGUAGAGUGCCUGCCUAGCAUGCACAAGGUCCUGGGUUCAAUACCCAGUACCUCCA
rnacentral:tRNA from 1 species